AAGGAUCAUUACAGAGUUCAUGCCCUCACGGGUAGAUCUCCCACCCUUGAAUAUUAUACCUUAGUUGCUUUGGCAGGCCGGGGCAACCCCCGGGGCUUCGGCCUUGGUGUGCCUGCCAGAGGAAACAAACUCUGUUUUUAGUGAUGUCUGAGUACUAUAUAAUAGUUAAAACUUUCAACAACGGAUCUCUUGGUUCUGGCAUCGAUGAAGAACGCAGCGAAAUGCGAUAAGUAAUGUGAAUUGCAGAAUUCAGUGAAUCAUCGAAUCUUUGAACGCACAUUGCGCCCCGUGGUAUUCCGCGGGGCACGCCUGUUCGAGCGUCAUUUCAACCCAUCAAGCUUCGGCUUGGUCUUGGGGCCUGCGAUUCCGCAGCCUCUAAACCCAGUGGCGGUGCCUCCGAGCUCUGAGCGUAGUAAUUCUUCUCGCUAUAGGGUCUCGGUGGUGUCUUGCCAGUAACCCCCAAUUUUUUACAGGUUGACCUCGGAUCAGGUAGGGAUACCCGCUGAAUUUAAGCAUAUCAAUAAGCGGAGGAAAAGAAACCAACAGGGAUUACCUCAGUAACGGCGAGUGAAGCGGUAACAGCUCAAAUUUGAAAUCUGCCGCAAGGCCGAGUUGUAAUUUGUAGAAGAUGCUUUGGGUAUGGCCCCGGUCUAAGUUCGUUGGAACACGACGUCAUAGAGGGUGAGAAUCCCGUAUGUGACUGGGUGCUUUUGCCUAUGUAAAGCUCUUUCGACGAGUCGAGUUGUUUGGGAAUGCAGCUCAAAAUGGGUGGUAUAUUUCAUCUAAAGCUAAAUAUUGGCCAGAGACCGAUAGCGCACAAGUAGAGUGAUCGAAAGAUGAAAAGCACUUUGGAAAGAGAGUUAAACAGUACGUGAAAUUGUUGAAAGGGAAGCGCUUGCAACCAGACUUGCACGCUGUUGAUCAUCCAGGCUUCUGUCUGGUGCACUCGGCAGCGUUCAGGCCAGCAUCGGUUCUGGUGGUGGGAUAAAGGCCUUGGGAAUGUAAGCUUCUUUCGGGGAGUGUUAUAGCCCUCGGUGCAAUGCCGCCUAUCGGGACCGAGGACCGCGCUUCGGCUAGGAUGCUGGCGUAAUGGUUGUAAGCGACC
rnacentral:rRNA from 1 species